UAGAAACUCAUGAUCUGUUCCUCUCUCAUCAUCCAGACAUACCUAUCUUCCACAGCAUCCUCCUGCAAGGAGUUCAGCUUCCUGCAGACUUACAGCUGGGCUCAGGCACCUAGGAUGACAAUUUGGGGUACACCUCCCUCACAUAUUAGCCCUCAACAGUAACAGCAGCAAGAGCACAGCAGUCUCCAGUGCAGAUACAGCUUUAGCAGCUGUGGGAAGCAGAGACCUGAUCUUUGAUGCUACAGCCUGCUUCUCCCCCAUUACAUCCUUUUGAAUCCCACCUGGGAUUUCUACCAAUCACACAACUGAAAAACCAUCCAGUUAGUUUGAAAUUAGAAGCUCUCCAUCCAACCUCUGACCCUUCCAUUCUUACCCACGUUGUUCCUAAGGAAGACGUUCUCCACCAUUUCCAUGGGCCUCCUGAUCAUCCCAAACUACAUAAACAUCUCCUUGCUUCACUCACUUGGCUGCAUUUGUAAAAUUCCAAACCCAUAAUGUCUUUCCCAGGUGAAGUUUCUGAGCAGCCUGUCUCAGUGGAUGACUGCUGCAGUGGCUCCCUGAUCGAUUCCUCUUAUCUUCAUGAUCUUGACACAUGCAAAAGCUGCAGCUAUGCAAGGCAUUGGCGGUGCUCCCAGCUGGGGAGAUCUCAGCACCUGGCUGAAGAAAUUCUGCACUUCCUAACUUGUUCUUACUUUUCAUACGUCUUGGAAGAAACACCUACGUAUAAUAAGGUACAUUUCCCUCUCUAUCUUAAAACAAAACCAACCAGCAACAGACACAAAGUGGCUUCUGGCCAGGACUUUCUUCAAAACAUCUGCUCUGCAGCUCAUCCAGGCUCUGUGCCCUGUGAAACCAGACUGUAAUGAAGAAGGAAAGGAAGAGGAAGUAAAAUCACCUGUGGCUUUGCUUCUGAAGAACUGGAUGGUUACAUUAGGCUUGGUUUAGCCUGGCUUUGAGCACAGGUGUUAACUAAAUAAAAUGGGUUGCUUUUCUGAUCUCUAGCCUAGAGAUUUAGGGCAAGAAACACGUUACCUCAUAGGAAGGAGACGAUUACAAGCAAAUCAAGUGCAUUCAAGAAGUAUACAAUUCCCUUUUAUUUGCUACAUUUAGAAUUUAUACACUAUGCAGCAUAACCGUGGUUUUGUCAUCACUACUCCUACAAGUACAGCUGUUGUGAGCUUGAAAAUGUCAAGAAUUAGUGCACACAAGCUAUUAACUGCCAAGCAUUUCAGAGAUCACUCAGUGCAUCACCAAACCUUAGCACUAAAUCCUCUUGUACCACCUAAGGAAUAGAUCUUUUUGUUUUUAAAUUUACUGUGUUGUCUACUUGGCCACCAGCUGCUGCUAUCUGACUGCUGUGGUUCGUAACCGUAAAUGUGGGGGCCAUUUUGAAACCAAAAGAGAUUAAAGACAAGAAGAGGAAGUCCAACAACUUGAAGAUGCUAUCAUCAAUCCACAGCUGGCCAGGAACAGGAAGCAAGCGGAGAUGGCAUUCAUAACAUACUGCCUCUAUGGCACAGAGGCCAACAAAAACUAAAGGCUGUAGAAGCAGCACCGAUUAUUUCUGGGUAACCACCAAUCUAAGCUGACCACCUGUGAAUGAGGAGCACGUACUUAGGACAUGGGCUCUUUCCUGGUGCAGCUCACGCACAAUCUUUCUGACAGCACCAAUGCUUUUAUAGCUGGUUCAGAAAGGGAGUAGGGCACAAUGCAGACUGAAGUAUAAUGAACUGCAGUGGAAAUUGGGGAUUGGAUUUCGUUCCCAUGAGUGUAAGAACUUUGUAUGGACGGACCACAGUGGAAGCAUAUUCAGGUCCUGAAUGUUUUCAUCGCCAGUUUAAUUGUAGCAGAUGAAAUGCAAAACAAGACGCAGCUGCUCAGUCACAAUUUGCAGGAAAAUAUAACGUUAUCAUCACCUCAGGAGCUCGCAUGUGAGAGAAAAGCUGCCAUUCAGAGAAAGGCCAUUUCAGGCCAAACAUGAAACAACCAGAUGUGGGAAGGCGCAGCAAUCCUCAAGAACCGGCCUGGAAGGAGGGCGUGCUGGGCGCUCUCAACCACAGAGCAGCAGCUUCAGCAGAGCUGUUUUCAGUCUGAGGCAGGGCUCUGCUCAGCACUCACAGGAGCACAUCUGCUGGUGCUGCAUCCGCUCCGAUGCAGACUGGCACCAUUUGGCUGCAGCCGCUCCUGCACCUGCAGCACAGUGCAGUGGCCAUCAGCAGCGUGCCACGCCGUCCCUGCUGCAGCCGCGUGGAGUGAAGGACCGCAAAGAAUCAGUGAGAUUUUCCAACUCCUUGUGCACCCUUAAGGCUAGUGUAAACGAGAAGAGCUCUCCAACCUGGGAGGAGCAGAGCACUCAGGCUGGUGCCAGACAAAGGACAGCGAAAGGAAAGCAUUGCGUCCUGACUUGCAGCCGGCAGAGUUUGGCCAGCCCCAGGGACCUGACCCACAGCUCAUUAAACGCUUCAGAGUGCAGCCUGAAUCUCUUUUUAUAUUCUCUUUCAUGCCACGAAGUAAAUUGUACCUGUAAUACAUUUGCAAGUGUAGCUUGCAUCAGGUUGCAUUAAGGUACAGAAACUUUUUAAGCACAGAAGUGCCCGUUGUAAGAGUGCUGUCAUUAAUGACACUGCACUUGUACUCAGAGCAGAGUUCAGCACGAAGCCUACAGAGCAUCACUGCAGAGAAAUCAAAGUGGGCACACUCAGCCUAAGUGUUAAUACUCCGUAUCUCUACCAGCAAGGUAAUUACAGUAAUCCCUUAAUUACUGGCACUGGGAGAGUUUGAGGAAAACCUGCCUGGCAAACAAGCUCACCCUAUAAAAGCAGAAGCUCACAGGCCAGAGAAAAGCUGGAAAUAUUCAACCCUUCCUGGCAGAAAUGCAGGAUCCAUUGCACUACAUGAGGCUACGUGAGGUCCCUCACUACCCCAGCACUUCUUCCUGCACACGUCAGCUUGGUGGGAGAGCGAGGACAGGGGAGCAAGGACAUGCAGAACUGCAAGGAGGACGCCCCAAAACUCAUGCUAGCUGCACUGCAGCCCUUUGCUGUACCCAGUAGCUCCUGCUGCUUUCUGCACAGCCAACUGGCAGCGUGCAGUGAGCACUGUGCUGUCCCGACCGGCGUUAGGUGCUAACAGGAAGCCCAGAAGGACUAGAUAAAAACCAAAAGGAAACAAACAGCACCAGAUGUAGUGCACUGCACCGAGGACCGGGCUGAAUGAGGAGCCCCCCCCAGGCGAGGGGCUGUGCUGCCUCAAAAGCAGAGCGAGGGGAGCGCUGGCUGAGUCACCACUGCUUCCUGUUCUCCCCGUUCUGCGAUGGGGCAAUGCAGGCCGGCCAGCCUGCUCCCCUCGUGGGGCACCCUGCUGCCCCGGGCUGCAGAGCAGGAAGGGAGAGCGUGGAGCAGCAGGGUGCUGCCAGGCACAGAGCGGGCAGCCGCUCCCCGAGGCUGCUGUCAGCCUGGGCGGUGUGGGUGCCCUGGGUAUCACAUGCAGUAUGUGACAUACACUGCUCUGCAAGCACAUGAGUCAUAGCCAGGGCAAACUCCCACUACUCUGCUCGGUCAGAGGAGAAGAAGGGCC
ensembl:lncRNA